UUCUCUGGAGAGCCUCUAAUCGAGCGCCGAAGGUGUAAGCAUGUAUCUGCGGUACGAGCAGACUGAUACAUGUGAUCUCUCAGGCAAAAGGACAGAGCAGA
rnacentral:ncRNA from 1 species